UGCUCACAGUUACAAAGUGUGAGAGAAGCAGCCUUAUAAAUUUUAUAAAUAAAUAAGAACAAAAGUUUGCAUUUUGAUUUAGGUACAAAUUAUUGGGAAGUACUGCACAACUAGAGCACACUAAAGAAUAGCAAAUAAAACAUACUUGAUUUUCAUUUCAGCUAUCAACAAGUAAGUGAUGACAUCUGUUUGACUCUUGUGUCGAUCAAGAAUCUAAAGAGGUUGGGACUAGUAAGCACUUAGAUAGGUGGCUCCAGAGAACACAAGUACUGUAGGGUAGGGUAAGGUAGGGUAGGGUAGAGUAGGAUAGGAUAGGGUAGGGGCAAGGCAGGGAAGAGAAGGGAAGGGAAGGGUGCUAAACUACUACAAGAGAAUUUAUAACAAUGUGAAUCCAAUGUAAUAUCCAUAUUCCAUAAACAUAUGUGUAGGAAUUAGAUGGCUGGAUAGAAUAAGAAAUUUCUGUGCUAUGUAUUAAUAAUAGUUCUGAUAGACAGAAUUUCUGAUUUUAGAAGUUGUAAAAGGCAGUUCAGUAUGCUAAUUAGGGCACGGUGCCUAAGUGGGGCCAUUAUCUGUAACGUUAUGUAAAAUGUUUGUUUUUUCAGACAAACCCAUAGAGCUUUAUUAUUGAACACGAUUUCUGAAGAAAAUCAAUGGGUACAUUUAAGCUUGGUAUUUAGAAAACUGGUUAAGACUAUAAGUUUCACAUACUGUAGUAGAUAGGAGAAAAUAUGUGUCCAGAUAUUUGGUAUUGUAUUGGAACAUGACAUAAGGUUUUUUUAAAUUGUACUUUUAAUGAUUUGUACAGCUUUUUCUACAUUAUUUUGAAUGUUCACUUCUUUGUUGCAUAUAAUACCUUAUAGGGUUCAGAGUAAGAAAAAAGGGUAAUAGGAUUUGGUACACAGAUUUUCUUUCUGUUUGUUCUUUAAAAAAUCUCCACAUGUUCCUGGUUAAUUUUUAUUUUUAUUUUUAUAGGUACAAGCCAAUAUUUAUGUCCACUCCUAUUUAUUUAACAAUCUGGAGCUCUGCAAGGAGAAAACAUCAGUGCUUUAAAAAAAAAUAAAAGAUUCUUGUUUGGAGGGGAAACUGGGGAGAAAAGACAGAUUCCUAUGGAAAUUUCACCAACAGAUUAUGAUUGUUGGAGCUGAGACCCAACAUAUGUUAUGUAUAGUCCUCGACAUAUGAUCCUAAUUGAGCCCAGAAUUAUGAUAACCUCCCAAAGGCUCCUUCGUCGCGGAAGAUCUGACGGAAAAAGCUUUUGGAACCCGUGGAGCCAACUUCUUACCGCCUCUGCCAGGGUCCUCCGGGAUGACAGGAAUUCAGCGGACCUAUGCGGGCCAGGAGUUGAGGGAAACCGAUACCUCCUGCCGAUCUGGGGCUUCAGACUCUCCGACGCGGCUGGGCGUCCUUGCCAGCGGGCGCAGCGGCCGCAGCGGCCGCAUGGUCAUGGUGGAAGCAGAGACGACGGAGGGUGUUCCGCGGCGGCUUCGGUGGCUUCGGCAGCGGCUGGGCACCCUUGGCGGCGAGUGCAGCGGCUUUAUGGUGGCACUGGGAGCGGAGACGAGCGAGGGCGUUUCGCGGCGGCUUCAGCAGCGGUGGGGUCGUUUGGCCCCUUCUUUACAAGCGCUGAAGCCUGGCGAACAGCUUGGCGGACAGCUCGGAGAGCCUGGGGACCUUAUGGUGACUCUGACUGGGUUGAUUGUUUAUCACUGUUGUUUGGAGUUGGGAAAUUCGAACGGGGGCUUUGUUCAGCUUAGGCGAAGCGGGCGGCUGAUUGGGUGUGCCGUGGCUGGAGCCUUUUCCGGAUGCCCCCCCCCCCCCCUCCAUAUUUAACUCAGCUUCACAGCGACACCAUUGCCUUCAACAACAUUGCUCCCCUUACCAAUGCUGUCCCCUUUACCAACGCUGCUACCGGUAUUAUUACUACUCUUUCCAGCAACAUAGCCCCCUGUUCCAGCAUUGUUU